rnacentral:rRNA from 1 species
AUGUCCAAGGUUUGGAAAAUGCCGAGCAUUGAGUCCGUGUGCAACAAUGGGAAAGAAUGGCUCCUGCAUGCUUUAGCUUCGCUCAGUGAUAUAGAACGAAGUAUGAUGCUCAUGACCAUAUGGAGGAGUUGGCAUGUUCAUAAUGAGCUGGUCCACAAUAAACCAGCUCCGCCCAUGGAUGCUUCAGUAAGAUUUCUUCAGAGCUAUUUAGACUCCUUGAUCGGCAUCAAGUUAAAUACUCAUGUGGAUCCGGUGAAAGGGAAAACUGUCAUAUCUUAUGACAGGCCAGUGUGCCAUGUGCUUCAGCACCAGGAUGAACUGGAAUCAGAAUUAUGCGCGUGUAUGGAGGGAUUGUCCCUUGCUAUACAACGUUCUGAACUUCCUGUAGCUAUUGAGAUGGACUCGGUGGUGGCAAUCUCUCUGAUCUCCAGUGUGGUUCCUGAUCGAUCUGUCUAUGCUUCGGUGGUAAAUGAGAUUAAAUGUCUCAUGACUCUUAGACAUACUUGUGUUACUCAUGUCUUUCGUUCACAAAAUAAAGCUAGUGAUAGCUUAGCUAGUUUUGGUAGAAUUCAUGGCAGGACGAUGACCUGGAUCGGGUCUGGUCCGCCGGAUGUUUUGGAGAUUGUUCGUGACCAACUGGUGCAAAAUAUCGAUGCCAACACCGGCACGCAAUGCACCACAAAGAUAUCGAAAAACAGCGAUGUUUGCAGGAUCGCGCUCUCUCCCCUCUCUCCCUCACUCAGAAUGCAUCGGAGCGGUGGUUCCAUGGAAUCUGGAUAUGCCAGUUUAGCUAGCCGGCUUCUUCUCUGGGAAUAUGUACGUACGUACUCCAGUGGUGAGCAAGCACACGCAAGUGACGACGGUCUCUUUUGGGUGCACUGCACAGGAAUAUAUGUGGCUCUCCUCUCUUGUGUGCACCUCGUGCCUGUCAUCUUCACUCAUUUCAUGCUCUUAGCUCUUACUUCUGGGUCCAUGGACAUGGAGACAAAGUUUUCUCGGCAUGGGAUCUUAUGCUUAAAUUGGGCGGGUUAUCCUAGCUGGUGGGCAAGUGCCCUAGCACUAGAAUUAGCAGGUGCUGAUGAAUUAGUGAUGUAUACCUGCGCUAGAUUCUACGAUGAGCGUUUAAUUUGGUGCAUGCCAGAUCAUGAAUUAGUAACUGCAUCCAAUCUCUGA